CCCGGCAGGCAGGGGGUCAAAUGGCGGGGCUCAACCCCGUCCCGCCCCCUGAACCGCCGGGCUCGGGUCCGGUAGGGGAGGGUGGAACACCCGGUGUAGCGGUGGAAUGCGCAGAUAUCGGGUGGAACACCGGUGGCGAAGGCGGCCCUCUGGGCCGAGACCGACGCUGAGGCGCGAAAGCUGGGGGAGCGAACAGGAUUAGAUACCCUGGU
rnacentral:rRNA from 1 species